AACGUAGGGGACAAGCGUUAUCCGGAUUUACUGGGCGUAAAGCGCGCGUAGGCGGCUUUGCAAGUCGGGUGUGAAAUCCCCAGGCUUAACCUGGGAACUGCAUUCGAGACUGCAUUGCUAGAGUAUGGGAGAGGGAAGUGGAAUUUCAGGUGUAGCGGUGAAAUGCGUAGAUAUCUGAAGGAACAUCAGUGGCGAAAGCGACUUCCUGGACCAAUACUGACGCUCAUGUGCGAAAGCGUGGGGAGCAAACAGG
rnacentral:rRNA from 1 species